CGUCCCCACGAGCGCGCGGAGUGGCGUGGACCUGAUUCCCGCCCAAGCCUCUUCCCUGGAGCCGGGUCUUCCUCGCUGGCUCGCUGUCGCUCCUCAGUUCACUCCCUGCACGAGCCGGGGACUGGGGUCUUUGCGUGGACGUCCUCAUGGGGGAUGCGCUCUAAUCGAUUAUGAACCUGAUCAGCAACAAGUUUUUGUAUGCAGGCUGGAUAAGCCUCACCCCCUCUCUACCCCAGCCCCAGGAAUGUUGUGAAGGACAUUCUUCUUCAGGCCCCCAGCUCCCGUGAUUAAAUGCAAAGAUGAGUGAUUCAGACAGCAAAUCCAGGAAUUCAGAAAAAGAAAACUAUAGUAACCUUGAAUCAUCAAAGAUUUCAUAAGAAUGGAGGACUUGAAUGGAACCUUGAAGAAAUUUAAUAAACAAUUCAUUUACAUAGAUAUUUAUCA
rnacentral:lncRNA from 1 species